AUGGCGGUGGCGAGAACAGCUCGAGGAGCUGCUGACCGUUGUGUUGCAGCGCGUGCCGAUGCAGCCGCAGCUGGCGACGAUGUUGCCGAUGCUGCGGCCGGCCUCGCCCUGCCCCUUGCGGAAGCACCCGUAGCUGUCCUUGCUGUGCCGCUUGCACCAGCAGCAGCUGGUGCCGACCAGCCUCGCAAAGCCUCCGCCGACCUCGCUGUGCCCCUUGCGGAAGCGCCCUCAGCUGUCCUUGCUGUGCCGCUUGCACCAGCAGCAGCUGGUGCCAACCGGCCUGGCAAAGCCGCCGCCGACCUCGCUGUGGCCCUUGCCGAAGCUGGCCUUGCUGUGCCGCUUGCCCAUGCAGCAGCUUCGAAAGCUAGAGAAGCUGCCGCCGGUUGCGAUUUGGCACUUGCCGAUGCAAUAGAAGAUGUUGAUAAAGAGUUUGUGGACAAGAUGCGUGGUUGGCUCAUGACGGUGGCCACGCUCUUUGUGGGCAUAGCAUUCCAGGCAUUGCUGCAUCCGCCAGACGGGAUGUCCUUUGACAGCAUACUAGUAAGUAAAAACGCUGGGAAUUGGAAGGCAGAUCCUGGUGCUCCUUCACCUGCUCCCAAUCUCGCUCCAUCUUCUGCAUCAACUGUGGUCAAUGCCACGUCGCUCUAUGAAUCUAUAAGAGCGUGUUUAUACUUGACUUUCAAUACGUCUAUUAUGGUGUUGGCACUCAUAGUGCUGGUAUCGCUUCUGACCAUGAAAAAGGUCAUGUCUUCAAAUAGCCUCCGUCACAUAAAAGCUAUCGCAAUGACCCUCGCCACUGCUGUUGUCGGUUCCGUGGUCACCGGUACAUCGAGAAACCUGAGCGUUCAACUAGGAAUCCUUGUUAUCUUCGGCAUAUACGUCUUUGUAUUCUUACUCAUUCCAUCAAUAUUUAUAUCCUGA
rnacentral:rRNA from 1 species